GCCAGAUCCAUGCAUCGGAUCAAGAGAGCAGCUGCUAAAAUACUAUUACAUAGCAGCAAACAGAUAUUUGAAGCUGCUGGUGCCUCUGGAGUCCCACGGACAUCAUGGUGUAGAGUCCUCCAGAGUCUUGCAACUGUGCAUAAACCUUCUAUUCGGCCAACACUAACCAAUGCUCACAAGCAGAAACGGCUGCAUUGGGCAGAAAAAUACAUGAAGACUAAUUUUC
rnacentral:lncRNA from 1 species